rnacentral:rRNA from 1 species
AUUGAACGCUGGCGGCAGGCUUAACACAUGCAAGUCGGGCGGGGUGAUGGUGCUUGCACUAUCACUUAGCGGCGGACGGGUGAGUAAUGCUUAGGAGUCUGCCUAUUAGUGGGGGACAACAUCUCGAAAGGGAUGCUAAUACCGCAUACGUCCUACGGGAGAAAGCAGGGGACCACUUGUGACCUUGCGCUAAUAGAUGAGCCUAAGUCGGAUUAGCUAGUUGGUGGGGUAAAGGCCUACCAAGGCGACGAUCUGUAGCGGGUCUGAGAGGAUGAUCCGCCACACUGGGACUGAGACACGGCCCAGACUCCUACGGGAGGCAGCAGUGGGGAAUAUUGGACAAUGGGGGGAACCCUGAUCCAGCCAUGCCGCGUGUGUGAAGAAGGCCUUAUGGUUGUAAAGCACUUUAAGCGAGGAGGAGGCUCUUUUGGUUAAUACCCAAGAUGAGUGGACGUUACUCGCAGAAUAAGCACCGGCUAACUCUGUGCCAGCCGCCGCCGUAA